AGAAGUCAUAUGGUUCUAAAGAGAGAAAAUGACAUAAAAAUUAUGCUCAAUAGGAUUG
rnacentral:snoRNA from 1 species